rnacentral:rRNA from 1 species
AUUGAACGCUAGCGGGAGGCCUUACACAUGCAAGUCGAACGGCGUGGCGAACGGGUGAGGAAUGUAACGGAACGGGCACAGUAGCGGUGGAUAGCUACGCGAAAGCGUAGCUAAUACCGCAUACUAUUGGAAUGGGCGAUAUGGGAUUAGCUUGUUGGUGGGGUAACGGCUCACCAAGGCGACGAUCCGUAGCCGGUUUGAGAGGACGACCAGCCACACUGGGACUGAGACACGGCCCAGACUCCUACGGGAGGCAGCAGUGGGGAAUUUUGGACAAUGGGGGAAACCCUGAUCCAGCCAUGCCGCGUGUGCGAUGAAGGCCUUCGGGUUGUAAAGCACUUUUGGCAGGGAAGCGGUACCUGCAGAGUAAGCACCGGCUAACUACGUGCCAGCCGCCGCGGUAAUUC